rnacentral:rRNA from 1 species
AUACGUAGGGUGCAAGCGUUAAUCGGAAUUACUGGGCGUAAAGCGUGCGCAGGCGGUUUUGUAAGACAGAGGUGAAAUCCCCGGGCUCAACCUGGGCACUGCCUUUGAGACUGCAAGGCUAGAGUACGGCAGAGGGGGAUGGAAUUCCCCGUGUAGCAGUGAAAUGCGUAGAUAUGCGGAGGAACACCGAUGGCGUAGGCAAUCCCCUGCGCCUGUACUGACGCUCAUGCACGAAAGCGUGGGCAUCAAUCAGGAUUAGAUACCCUGUUAGUCCACUCCCUAAACGACGUCAACUGGUUGUUUGGUCUUCAUUGACUCAGUAACGAAGCUAACGCGUUAAGUUGAACCCCUGGAGAGUACGGCCGCAAGGUUGAAACUCAAAUGAAUUGACGGGG